AACGAACGCUGGCGGCGCGCCUAAUACAUGCAAGUCGAGCGAGAAGACGUAGCAAUACGUUUGUAAAGCGGCGAACGGGUGAGGAAUACAUGGGUAACCUACCCUCGAGUGGGGAAUAACUAGCCGAAGGUUAGCUAAUACCGCGUACGCUCCUUGGACUUCGGUUCAGGGAGGAAAGCGAUACCGUGGGUAUCGCGCUCUUGGAUGGGGCUCAUGUCCUAUCAGCUUGUUGGUGAGGUAACGGCUCACCAAGGCUUCGACGGGGUAGCUGGUCUGAGAGGACGAUCAGCCACACUGGCACUGCGACACGGGCCAGACUCCUACGGGAGGCAGCAGUAAGGAAUAUUGCGCAAUGGGCGAAAGCCUGACGCAGCGACGCCGC
rnacentral:rRNA from 1 species